UACGUAGGGGGCGAGCGUUGUCCGGAAUUAUUGGGCGUAAAGAGCGUGUAGGCGGUUCGGUAAGUCUGCCGUGAAAUCCUGGGGCUCAACCCCGGGCGUGCGGUGGAUACUGCCGGGCUAGAGGGUGGUAGAGGCGAGUGGAAUUCCCGGUGUAGCGGUGAAAUGCGUAGAUAUUGGGAGGAACACCAGUGGCGAAGGCGGCUCACUGGACCGGUUCUGACGCUGAGGCGCGAAAGCGUGGGGAGCGAACAGG
rnacentral:rRNA from 1 species